rnacentral:lncRNA from 1 species
GCAGCAUUUUUUAUAAGAAGAACUUGUGCAUCAAUAGAAGAAUUUCUGGAAUGCAUCCUACCACGAGCAUUGAUUAACCUUUAGGAUUAAACAAAGCAGGACGAGGCUCAUAACUAAACCAAGACAUUUAACAUAAUAUUCCAAGACAGUUAUGAUGGAGAAGUAGUGCUGAGAAGCAGCAUGGCACGGUAAAAAUUAUUUUUGAUAAUGGGGUUCAGUGCUUGGACAACGUUACAGAUGUAUGCAACAUGCGAGUAGUAAGCCAUGAAUUAAACUGAUGGAUGAUGAUGUUACCAUCACAGUCAAUGGACUGAUGAGUUUGUUUAGCAAAACUUGAUCUGUAGUUUGAUGUGCCUUGAAGGGAAGCGAUGUACAAGACUACAGAUCCAGGAUUGAUUGUUUGCUAAGAUACCAUCCCCUAGAUGUCAUCACCCACCUCUAGAUCCAGGAUCGAUUAUUUGAUUAUUUGCUAAUGCUGCACUAGCCAAUUUGGAGGUGAGGUUGUUAGACAACUCUGCUGCCAGGAAUGGAGUUGUUGCUAGGCUGCUAGCAACCGCAAAUUGGACUUGGCAGUUUGCAAUGCAGCAAGACUGCUCUUUGUGAAGGAUCCUGAUAAUGGGGUUGAAUGAGGACUUGGUGGCAUGAUUCUAUUCUUCAAAUCAAGUCCCGGUCUGCUACUUGUUUCUGUGCUCUGCAGGGACAUGAAUUCCUCCUGUUUGUUACACAAGUUGUUUUGAGGUGAUAAACUGUGAUUUUAAUACUGUGAAUGUUACAAAUUAUAAUACUCUGCACUUGUAAACUUGUUUUACAAGUUGUUUUUAUUUUCAAACGAACUCAUCCAACCUCCACCCAGUGGCUACAAGGGGAUUACAAAAGAAAAAAAGAAUUAAAAGAUACCCUGUGAUCCGUCAAAAAAAAAAAAAGAUACCCUGUUCUAUUGUGUUAAAUUAAUGGUCUUCACAAUAUUCUACUUUCUUUAGUUGAUCAUUUUUGUGAAUUCUAGGAGGAUGCAUAAAUAGGGAUGGCAAAAUAAUCCGAUCCGACGGAUACCCGAUCCGAAACCCGAAUUUUUGGAUAUACCGAACCCGAAUUUUUGGAUUUGGAUUUGGAUAUGGAUUUGAUUUUUGUACCCGAAAUUUUUUGGAUUUGGAUAUGGAUAUGACCUCUACCGAUCCGAAACCCGAUCCGAAACCCGAAAUCCUAUCCGAACCCGAUCCGAACCCGAAACCCGAAAAAAACCCGAAUAUUAUAUAUAUAUUAUAAAUAAUUUAAUAUGAAUGUGUGUGUGUGUUCCAGAGAUUCAGUGUUGUGGAUAAGAAUGUUGUUUGUGUUAUUUGUAUAGUUGCCACCUCUAGUUUCCUUCCCCAUGAGAUGACCAGUAAUUACUACUACUAGUCUACUACUACAUAUCUUAAUGUCUUGUGUCGCUUGAGAGAUCUUUGUAUUAAUAUAUUGUUCUUUAUCUAUGUCAGAUUUAUUCAUCUCUUUUAUCUUCAGCCUUAAAGAACCGUGAUUGAGGGCUAAUAUUUGGCAUCUAUUUCAGGAGUUACUUUCUUUAUGUGCAAGCUUAAACCUUGAGGACGGAAGCUCAUCAAUGUGUUGAAAAGGUUUCCUUUAGUUUUCAAUUUUCAGGAAUCUACAUCUAACCUCUCUUGUCAAAAAAAAUUGUACAUGAUCAGUAAGGAAAUUGGAGCUCUGGGAUAUUACAUGCUUGGUGUCAAUUUUGUGAAUUGCAAAUUUGCAUUGAUCAAUUGUGUAAAAGACUACCCUGUGAAGCUUAGCAACCAUAUUUUAAAGUUGGUACGAGCAGACAGCAGUAGAACCUCUGGCAUUGUACAGAGCAGUUGUAAGUAAAGCAAGUUAAUGCUAAUUACAUAUACUAGCACCUUAAUGACAUUGCAUCAUAACUCUUAUGUGCUGAGUUCACUUUAGUACUUAUCUGUUCAAGAAUAUACAUGGUAAAUAAUUUAGUUCAUGGAUCUUGAAACCACAUUCUUUUGCAGCAUUUUUUAUAAGAAGAACUUGUGCAUCAAUAGAAGAAUUUCUGGAAUGCAUCCUACCACGAGCAUUGAUUAACCUUUAGGAUUAAACAAAGCAGGACGAGGCUCAUAACUAAACCAAGACAUUUAACAUAAUAUUCCAAGACAGUUAUGAUGGAGAAGUAGUGCUGAGAAGCAGCAUGGCACGGUAAAAAUUAUUUUUGAUAAUGGGGUUCAGUGCU